CCAGAGGACUACUAGCAAUAGCUUAAAACUCAAAGGACUUGGCGGUGCUUUAUAUCCCUCUAGAGGAGCCUGUUCUAUAAUCGAUAAACCCCGAUAAACCUCACCACCUUUCGCUAAUUCAGUCUAUAUACCGCCAUCUUCAGCAAACAAA
rnacentral:rRNA from 1 species